rnacentral:lncRNA from 1 species
CUGAUUUGUUAGCUGAAGAUGAGGAUCUGGAGCAGGAGCUCGGAGUGCCAUUGUUCCAUGGGCAGAUGUGCAGCAGAGAUUAGCAUUAGGAAGACAAGCAGGGCCUUCAGUAGGCAUAAGGUGAUGAGGUUCAUGCCGUUGGAUCCCACGGGUGCCCUGGGGAAGAGAUGGUUGGGAAGUCUGAGAGGAAGCAGGAGAGCUUUCGGAGCACAUGGAUGCCGUCCAGAAUGGAGAUGGUUGUGGCUCGGAAGAAAAAGAAAUCACCCAGCUCGGAGUCAGGAUACAUUUGGAGGUCCAGGCCGCCGAGUUUGCUGGUGGGGAAGAUAGGCACCAGAAAGGAAAGAGGACAUCCAGGGCAAUUUCUUCUGCCCCCCAGCCAAUCCGUACAUUGUCCAGAGGGUCUUGCUCUGUCAUCCAGGCUGGCGCGAUCUCGGCUCACUUUGACCUCUGCCUCCUGGGUUCAAGCGAUUCUCCUGUCACAGCCUCCUGAGCAGCUGGGAUUACAGGCAGGCACCACCAUGCUGAGCUAAUUUUUGUAUUUUUAGUAGAGACCAGGUUUCGCCAUGUUGCCCAGGCUACUCUCGAACUCCUGGCCUCAUGUGAUCCGCCCACCUCAGCCUCCCAAAGUGCUGGGAUUACAGGCGUGAGCCACUGCAACCAGCUGGAACAAUCUUGAUAUUAGGGUGAACAAGUGAUUUCAUAGCUUUCUCUGAAGGAGGAAACACUGGGAGCAUCCACCCGAGAAUCAACACUGUGGAUCAUUCUGGGGAGUUAAUAGUUUUGAGAUGUGUCCCAAGAUAAUUGUUAGCUUGAAUUACCACGUGGAUGGAACCAUGCUGAUCCUAAGAGCCAGGUAAUGGCCAAAGGUGCCAUUCAGGUGAAAUCCCCAGGUGGAAAAUUCUUCCACUUCCAAUGAUAGAAUUCUAUUACUCUGCCUAUAGUUUGGUGAAACAAGACUUUACAAAUAGAGGACAAGAUCCAUUUUGCCAAGAACAACCAUAUGGAUUUAACUGCUGCUAACAACCGUUAGGAAGGAACAUCAAUAAAAAGCAAGCCUGUGAGACAACUCCUUCCCCAAGGGGCGCUUGUUACAGAGCGCGGGCCCCAGCAGGCCUGGUCCAUCCUCCACAUUCUUUCCUCUCUGACUUAUUUUUACUUUCUGUUUGAAUUGGCUUGGUUUUAUUUUGCCCUAAACUGUGUCUGUAGUCAUCCCCCGACAGAGUUUUGAGAGUGAAAGUCCGAUCUGCCCACGCUUCACAGAACUCAAUGCGGAGCCUUCUCAGGAGUCACUUGACGUCAAGGCUGACUUUUAAAUUUGCCAAAAAGGCAUUCUUUGGGGAGCGGUCGGCACCAUCACUUUCCCUCUUUAGAGAGCUGCUACUGGCUGC